GUGAACGCUGGCGGUAGGCCUAACACAUGCAAGUCGAACGGCAGCACAGUAAGAGCUUGCUCUUACGGGUGGCGAGUGGCGGACGGGUGAGGAAUACAUCGGAAUCUACUUUUUCGUGGGGGAUAACGUAGGGAAACUUACGCUAAUACCGCAUACGACCUACGGGUGAAAGCAGGGGAUCUUCGGACCUUGCGCGAUUGAAUGAGCCGAUGUCGGAUUAGCUAGUUGGCGGGGUAAAGGCCCACCAAGGCGACGAUCCGUAGCUGGUCUGAGAGGAUGAUCAGCCACACUGGAACUGAGACACGGUCCAGACUCCUACGGGAGGCAGCAGUGGGGAAUAUUGGACAAUGGGCGCAAGCCUAAUCCAGCCAUACCGCGUGGGUGAAGAAGGCCUUCGGGUUGUAAAGCCCUUUUGUUGGGAAAGAAAAGCAGCAGGUUAAUACCCCGCUGUUCUGACGGUACCCAAAGAAUAAGCACCGGCUAACUGCGU
rnacentral:rRNA from 1 species